AGUGAACGCUGGCGGUAGGCCUAACACAUGCAAGUCGAACGGCAGCACAGAGGAGCUUGCUCCUUGGGUGGCGAGUGGCGGACGGGUGAGGAAUACAUCGGAAUCUACUCUGUCGUGGGGGAUAACGUAGGGAAACUUACGCUAAUACCGCAUACGACCUACGGGUGAAAGCAGGGGACCUUCGGGCCUUGCGCGAUUGAAUGAGCCGAUGUCGGAUUAGCUAGUUGGCGGGGUAAAGACCCACCAAGGCGACGAUCCGUAGCUGGUCUGAGAGGAUGAUCAGCCACACUGGAACUGAGACACGGUCCAGACUCCUACGGGAGGCAGCAGUGGGGAAUAUUGGACAAUGGGCGCAAGCCUGAUCCAGCCAUACCGCGUGGGUGAAGAAGGCCUUCGGGUUGUAAGGCCCUUUUGUUGGGAAAGAAAUCCAGCUGGCUAAUACCCGGUUGGGAUGACGGUACCCAAAGAAUAAGCACCGGCUAACUUCGUGCCAGCCGCCGCGGUAA
rnacentral:rRNA from 1 species